UCCAUGAUGCAUAUGAAGAAGAGGAAUAAGAUGCUUUGUUGUGCCACUGAACAGUUAGAAGUUACUCAAGACUUGAGCAAAGAAUGGAUAACAACUAAGUUGGGGCUCCGAAAUUCUCAAAGAUCUUUAGAGAAGAGCCAGAAAUCAUUUUGACUGGGGCUUCUGUGCUUUUGCCAGACCUCCAGCCCUCUUGAGACUUAAGCUGACAUGAAAUUGUCGUUGCAAUGCUU